AUAACGACUCUCGGCAACGGAUAUUUCGGCUCUCGCAUCGAUGAAGAACGUAGCGAAAUGCGAUACUUGGUGUGAAUUGCAGAAUCCCGUGAACCAUCGAGUCUUUGAACGCAAGUUGCGCCCCAAGCCUUUAGGCCGAGGGCACGUCUGCCUGGGUGUCACG
rnacentral:rRNA from 1 species